rnacentral:lncRNA from 1 species
CCCGAACCCAGCACCCGGGUCCGGUACGCGACCGGCCGCAUGAGCCCUAGAGCAGUGCCCUAAAGAUCAUGCAAGGCCUAUGAUUAACAAAAAUUCCAAUAAAUCCACAAGAAAUUGAUAAUUCAAAUAGACAAAUUCGACAUGUCCAAAUAGACAAAUUAGUUCAAUUACAAGAUCUUCAAAUGUUUAUCGACAUCAAAGAAGGAUAAACAAACUAACUAACUAAUGACUCUGGUACUCGCACUCUGCGCCCAUCCCAUCCAAAUCUAUGCAUCCUGCAACUCUGAUAAAAAAAAAGAAGAAGAGGGGGUGAGCUUUACAGCCCAGUAAGAAUCCCUACACAUCCAUACCUACACAAUAAUAAUAUAAAUUCGAAACCACGACAAAUCGAUGCACAUUUUAUGAAAUCAUAAACAGUUUCUAAAAGACUCAAAUAAUCAAUAUAAUUAUGUACAUCAAGCAUCAAUGAAAGUCCAUAUUAUACAUCAAACGUCAAUGAAAGUCCAGCCACAUAAGAAUGAUAUAGUAUAUAAUAGCCUAUAAAUCACUACGACUGUUUUCAAUGCUUUUUCUUUUCAUUCCAUGUUAACUUGAUCCGGAUCAAUUAUCUUUCCGACUUUGGGCUACAUCCCGGUCACGUUUCCGGCCCGUGACGGGGCAAUCGAUAGUAUCACAUUUUCGGCCUGUGAUGGAGCAAUCGAUAGUAUCACAUUUCCAGCCUGUGACGGGGCAAUCAAUAAUAUCACAUUUUCAGCCUGUGACGGGGCAAUCGAUAAUAUCACAUUUCCAGUCUGUGAUGGGGCAAUCAAUAAUAACGAGAUAAGCCCAAAGUUCCUGUUCAUUUAAUCAAUUCAUAAACACACAUCCAUUCCCUUUUCCACUUUAUUUCCGACCUAGACUAACCAUGGUCACGUUUUCAGCCCGUGACAGGGCAAUCAAUAUAACAUGGUUAGUCCAUACUACCACAUCCAUAAAUCCAAUUAUGCAGAUAUAGGUUAUACACAUACAUGCAUCCAUCAUAAUACCAAUCACAAGCCAACACGAUCAAAAUAUAAUUUAAUAUAAACUAUUUUUGCUUUGUCGGAAUCAUAGCAUAUCAAUAUAUAUGGUGCAAAAAUAUUUAUAUCAUGCAGGAUUAGCGUACAAGGAUUCUUACCCUUUAUUGAAAACUCAGACAACUAAUCACCCGCCCUCACGGCGAUCUAUGAACCGGAAUGCGCAGGACUCUGCUCAGCGUCCUCUCGUC